AGAGUUUGAUCAUGGCUCAGAAUCAACGCUGGCGGCGUGCCUAACACAUGCAAGUCGAACGCGAAAGUGGAGCAAUCCAUGAGUAGAGUGGCAAACGGGUGAGUAACGCGUGGGUGACCUGCCUUCGAGUGGGGGAUAACGCCCCGAAAGGGACGCUAAUACCGCAUAACAUGCUGCCUUUUAACAGGCGGACAUCAAAGCUGGGGAUCGCAAGACCCAGCGCUGGAAGAGGGGCCCGCGUCCGAUUAGCUAGUUGGUGAGGUAAAGGCUCACCAAGGCAUCGAUCGGUAGCCGGCCUGAGAGGGCGACCGGCCACACUGGCACUGAAACACGGGCCAGACUCCUACGGGAGGCAGCAGUGGGGAAUUUUGGGCAAUGGCCGAAAGGCUGACCCAGCAAC
rnacentral:rRNA from 1 species